rnacentral:lncRNA from 1 species
UUAAUGAUGCUAACUUCUAUGCAUCAUUUGUAAUCCUUUCUCUUUUAAACUUUGAUGUCAAGUCUUUCUCUCAUUGACAUAACAUAAGAGACAUUUUAUCAUAGUAUGGAGUAUUCAUAAUGCUUAUAAAAUACUGGUGACAUUUCCUUUCUCAAUCAAUGGAGGUUGCUCCUGAUCGACUAUUCUUUACAUCUUUAAGCAUUUUGUAUAUUUGGAGCAAACUAAAGGUAGAAUUUGGUAUUGAUAUCAAUUUGGAGCUUAAUCGGAGAAAAUUGAAGCCAAGAUGCAUAAAUCAGAGCAAACACAU